GAAAGAAGAAGAAGAUAGAGGAGAGGGUGGAGCGGGGGAGAUGAACGACGGAGCUUGAAGCGCUCGUCAACAACGUUAGGGCUGAAUGGUUGAGGAAGGGAGAACACCGACGGUUAUUGUCGAGGGAAGUUGGUGAGUCCUUGUGAAGAAGAAGACAUGGGGUGCUAAGAGGAAAGAAAGAUCAAGAAGAAGGUGGGAAGAAGAGGCCGAAAACUGAGGGGGCACAGCCUGACCCGACCCGACCCACCUGAAAGUUCCAAUUAGCUUAGUCAAGGGGACACUUGAAGACUCGAUAAAGUUUUGGAAAGUCUACGAUCAGGAGAAAAGUAGAUCUAGGUCGGUGGCGGGGACGUGUGGAGUCGUGCAACUGCAGAAGGGGGCCCUUAGAUUGAGUCCUCUUCUCCUAUGUCGUUUUGGUUAUGAUUUUGACAUUUUUUGAAAACCUGCGAUAUUUUGUAACCGUUUCUUU